UACGUAGGGGGCAAGCGUUGUCCGGAAUCAUUGGGCGUAAAGAGCGUGUAGGCGGCCCGAUAAGUCCGCCGUGAAAGUCCAGGGCUCAACCCUGGAAUGCCGGUGGAAACUGUCGGGCUGGAGUCCGGAAGAGGCGAGUGGAAUUCCUGGUGUAGCGGUGAAAUGCGUAGAUAUCAGGAGGAACACCGGUGGCGAAGGCGGGUCUCUGGGCCGAUACUGACGCUGAGGAGCGAAAGCGUGGGGAGCAAACAGG
rnacentral:rRNA from 1 species